rnacentral:rRNA from 1 species
UGCGUAGGCGGAUAAAUAAGUCAGUGGUGAAAUCUUCCGGCUCAACCGGGAACCUGCCAUUGAUACUGUUAGUCUUGAGUUCGGCUGAGGUAGGCGGAAUGUGUAAUGUAGCGGUGAAAUGCUUAGAUAUUACACAGAACACCAAUUGCGUAGGCAGCUUACUAGACCGACACUGACGCUGAGGCACGAAAGCGUGGGGAGCGAACAGGAUUAGAUACCCUGGUAGUCC